rnacentral:rRNA from 1 species
GGAGCAUGUGGUUUAAUUCGAAGCAACGCGAAGAACCUUACCAGGUCUUGACAUCCCGAUGCUAUUUCUAGAGAUAGAAAGUUACUUCGGUACAUCGGUGACAGGUGGUGCAUGGUUGUCGUCAGCUCGUGUCGUGAGAUGUUGGGUUAAGUCCCGCAACGAGCGCAACCCCUAUUGUUAGUUGCCAUCAUUCAGUUGGGCACUCUAGCGAGACUGACCGGUAAUAAACCGGAGGAAGGUGGGAUGACGUCAAAUCAUCAUGCCCCUUAUGACCUGGGCUACACACGUGCUACAAUGGUUGGUACAACGAGUUGCGAGUCGGUGACGGCGAGCUAAUCUCUUAAAGCCAAUCUCAGUUCGGAUUGUAGGCUGCAACUCGCCUACAUGAAGUCGGAAUCGCUAGUAAUCGCAGGUCAGCAUACUGCGGUGAAUACGUUCCCGGGCCUU